rnacentral:rRNA from 1 species
GUGCCAGCAGCCGCGGUAAUACGUAUGGGGCAAGCGGUGUUCGGAUUCACUGGGCGUAAAGGGCUUGUAGGUGGUGGAGUAAGUCGGAUGUGAAAUCCCCGGGCUUAACCCGGGAACUGCAUUCGAAACUAUUCCGCUAGAGUACCGGAGAGGGAAACGGAAUUCCUGGUGUAGGGGUGAAAUCUGUAGAUAUCAGGAAGAACACCGGUGGCGAAGGCGGUUUCCUGGCCGGAUACUGACACUGAGGAGCGAAAGCUAGGGGAGCAAACAGGAUUAGAUACCCUGGUAGUCCUAGCUGUAAACGUUGUGCACUAGGUGUGAGUGGUUUACCCACUUGUGCCGAAGCUAACGCAUUAAGUGCACCGCCUGGGGAGUAUGCUCGCAAGAGUGAAACUUAAAUGAAUUGACGGGG